UAUUGGACAAUGGGCGCAAGCCUGAUCCAGCAAUGCCGCGUGGGUGAAGAAGGCCUUCGGGUUGUAAAGCCCUUUUGUACGGAAAGAAAUCCUGGUGGUUAAUACCCGCCGGGGAUGACGGUACCGUAAGAAUAAGCACCGGCUAACUUCGUGCCAGCAGCCGCGGUAAUACGAAGGGUGCAAGCGUUAAUCGGAAUUACUGGGCGUAAAGCGUGCGUAGGUGGUUUCUUAAGUCUGUCGUGAAAGCCCUGGGCUCAACCUGGGAAUGGCGAUGGAUACUGGGAGGCUAGAGUGCGGUAGAGGAUGGCGGAAUUCCCGGUGUAGCGGUGAAAUGCGUAGAGAUCGGGAGGAACAUCUGUGGCGAAGGCGGCCAUCUGGACCAGCACUGACACUGAGGCACGAAAGCGUGGGGAGCAAACAGG
rnacentral:rRNA from 1 species